AUGUUCUGUGAACAGAUUGUCUUCAGAAAUUUUGUAUCACUGUGGUACACGUUCGGUGGAGGAACCAGACUGGAUGUUGGAAGUGAUGUCCGUCCCACCCUGACGGUGCUGCCCCCUUCCAGCGAGGAGCUGCAGCAGGGGAAGGCCACGCUCAUGUGUCUGGCCAACGAUGGCUUCCCCUCAGACUGGAGUCUGGCCUGGAAGGUGGACGGCAGCAGCAGCAGCAGCUUGGAGCAGAGCAGGAGCCCCGGGGUGCUGCAGAAGGACGGCCGCUACAGCUGGAGCAGCACCCUGAGGCUCCCUGCAGACCAGUGGAGGAAGGUGGGCUCUGUGACCUGUGAGGCCACCCAGGGCUCCCAGACUCCAGUCUCAGAGACACUGAGGAGAGACCAGUGUUCCCAGUCCUGA